UCUUAUGAAUCACGUUGAGAGCACCAGUUCUCGUCGGAUCACCGAAGUUAAGCAGCGUCGAGCCUAGUGAGUACUUAGAUGGGUGACCACUUGGGAAACCUAGGUGCUGUAAGCG
rnacentral:rRNA from 1 species